rnacentral:rRNA from 1 species
AUGUGCUACGAGCUGGCGGACCAACGUGGACCGCACGGCAGCGGCGGCGGCCGGACGGUGAAGGGCGACGACGGCAGCGCCGGGGCGGCGUCGGGAAUGACAAUGGCGAGCCCGGCGGACCUCAUGUCGGGCUACUACCAGGCGCAGGAGAUGUCGACGAUGGUGUCGGCGCUGUCGCGGGUCGUGGCGGAGGACGACCCGUGGGCGCCGUCCGGCUCCGGCGCCGGGCCGGAGGGGUGGGGCUGGGAGGAGCAGCAGGCAAUGCACGCCGGCGCUGGCGGCGGCGGCGGCGGCGGCUACGUGCACGAGCUGGGGAGCUUCCCGUCUUCAGAGUUCGCAGGGUCGGAUCAGAGCUCGGACACCCAGAGCGCGACCAUGGAGGAACACCGCUCCCGCUCCCCGGCGUCGUCCAACGUGGUGGAGGCGCCGCGGCGGCGGUACCGCGGGGUGCGGCAGCGGCCGUGGGGCAAGUGGGCGGCGGAGAUCCGGGACCCGCACAAGGCGGCGCGCGUCUGGCUCGGCACCUUCGAGACGGCCGAGGCCGCGGCGCGCGCCUACGACGACGCCGCGCUGCGCUUCCGCGGCAGCCGCGCCAAGCUCAACUUCCCCGAGGACGCGCGCCUGCACCCGGCCACCGUCGCCCCCGCCGCCGCGCCGGCCCGGGCGCCGAUCGCCGCGGCAUCGGCCUCGACGCCCGCCGUGUACGCCGCCGCCGGGCCGGCCUCCGACUACCUGCGCUACCAGAUGCUCCUGCAGGGCAGGGGCGCCGCCGCCAACCAGGGCAACCUUCUCUCGUUCUACGGCGGGGGCGGGGGCGGCGCCAUGUCCAGCUCGUACGGCGGCGGCGGCGGAGUCAUGAGCAGCUCUUAUGGCGGCGGUGCCAGCGGCGGCACCAUGAGCGGUUUCCUGGGCUCCUACUACUCGUUCCCGUCCUCCUCCGUGUCGGUGGCCACCGUGCCGUCCUCCUCCUCGGCCUCCUCUGCGCCGGGCCACUACUACUCGUCGCCGCACGACUCGCAGCAGCAGCAGGGCGACGCGGCGGCGGAGUGGAGCUGGGAGAGCGCGCUGGCGCCCUACCCGGGGACGACGGCGGCGGCCUCCUGGUCCGACUCGAGCCAGCAGCCGUACCACCCGCCGCACACCCAAUAG